UACGUAGGCAGCGAGCGUUGUUCGGAGUUACUGGGCGUAAAGGGUGUGUAGGCGGUUGUUUAAGUUUGGUGUGAAAUCUCCCGGCUCAACUGGGAGGGUGCGCCGAAUACUGAAUGACUAGAGUGUGGGAGAGGUGAGUGGAAUUCCAGGUGUAGCGGUGAAAUGCGUAGAUAUCUGGAGGAACACCGGUGGCGAAGGCGGCAUCCUGGACCGGUAUUGACGCUGAGGCGCGAAAGCCAGGGGAGCAAACGGG
rnacentral:rRNA from 1 species